rnacentral:rRNA from 1 species
CUACGGGUUGCUCCAGUGAGGAAUAUUGCGCAAUGGACGAAAGUCUGACGCAGCCAUGCCGCGUGCAGGAUGACGGCGCUAUGCGUUGUAAACUGCUUUUAUAUGCCAAGAAACCUUCGGACGUGUCCGAAGCUGACGGUAGCAUAUGAAUAAGCACCGGCUAACUCCGUGCCAGCAGCCGCGGUAAUACGGAGGGUGCAAGCGUGAUCCGGAUUUAUUGGGUUUAAAGGGUCCGUAGGCGGAUCAUUAAGUCAGUGGUGAAAGCCGGCAGCUCAACUGUCGAACUGCCAUUGAUACUGGUGAUCUUGAAUACGGUUGAAGUUGGCGGAAUAGGUCAUGUAGCGGUGAAAUGCUUAGAUAUGACCUAGAACACCGAUUGCGAAGGCAGCCAACUAAGCCGUUAUUGACGCUGAGGGACGAAAGCGUGGGGAGCGAACAGGAUUAGAUACCCCCGUAGUC